GACGAACGCUGGCGGCGUGCUUAACACAUGCAAGUCGAGCGGUAAGGCCCUUUCGGGGGUACACGAGCGGCGAACGGGUGAGUAACACGUGGGUGACCUGCCCUUAGCUCUGGGAUAAGCCUGGGAAACUGGGUCUAAUACCGGAUAUGACUCCAUAACGCAUGUUGUGGGGUGGAAAGCCUUGUGCGGCUAGGGAUGGGCCCGCGGCCUAUCAGCUUGUUGGUGGGGUGAUGGCCUACCAAGGCGACGGCGGGUAGCCGGCCUGAGAGGGCGACCGGCCACACUGGGACUGAGACACGGCCCAGACUCCUACGGGAGGCAGCAGUGGGGAAUCUUGCGCAAUGGGCGAAAGCCUGACGCAGCGACG
rnacentral:rRNA from 1 species